GAUGAACGCUAGCUACAGGCUUAAAACAUGCAAGUCGAGGGGUAGCACAUGAGUAGCAAUACGAUGGUGGCGACCGGCGCACGGGUGAGUAUCGCGUAUGCCACCUACCUUCAACGGGAGGAAAGCCUUCCGAAAGGGAGAUUAGUACCGCAUAAAACAGGGGCCCCGCAUGGGGAUAUUUGUUAAAGAUUUAUCGGUGGGAGAUGGGCAUGCGUUCCAUUCGCUAGGUGGCGGGGUAAUGGCCCACCAAGGCAUCGAUGGAUAGGGGAACUGAGAGGUUUAUCCCCCACACUGGAACUGAGACACGGGCCAGACUCCUACGGGAGGCAGCAGUGAGGAAUAGUGGUCAAUGGGCGGGAGCCUGAACCAGCCAAGUCGCGUGAAGGAAGACGGUUCUAUGGAUUGUAAACUUCUUUUGCACUGGGGUAAAACGGGGGACGUGUCCCCCCUUGCAAGUACAGUGCGAAUAAGCAUCGGCUAACUCCGUGCCAGCAGCCGCUGUAA
rnacentral:rRNA from 1 species